UUAAAGAGCCGCGGUAAUUUGACCGUGCAAAGGUAGCAUAAUCAUUAGUCUCUUAAUUGGAGGCUGGAAUGAAUGGUUUAACGAAAAAUCUACUGUCUCUUAUUAAUUUAUUGAAUUUAACUUUUGAGUUAAAAGGCUUAAAUUUUUCUUUAGGACGAGAAGACCCUAUAGAUCUUUAUAAACAUAACAAAAAAGUAUUUUAGUGGUUUUUUAUUUUUUUGUUAUGUUUAUUUUGUUGGGGUGACAUGAAGAAUAGAUAAACUCUUCAUUAUUAGUUCAUUAAUUUAUGUUUUUAUGAUCCAUAAUUUAUGAUCAUAAGAUUAAGUUACCUUAGGGAUAACAGCGUAAUUGUUUUUAAGAGCUCUUAUCAACAAAGCAGAUUGCGACCUCGAUGUUGGAUUAGGAAAAAUUUUGGGUGUAGUAGCUCAAUAAUUAGGUCUGUUCGACCUUUAAAUUCUUACG
rnacentral:rRNA from 1 species